AUACGGAGGGUGCAAGCGUUGUUCGGAAUUAUUGGGCGUAAAGAGCAUGUAGGCGGACUAUUAAGUCUGGUGUGAAAGCCCGGGGCUCAACCCCGGAAGUGCAUUGGAUACUGGUAGUCUUGAGUAUGGGAGAGGAAAGUGGAAUUCCGAGUGUAGGAGUGAAAUCCGUAGAUAUUCGGAGGAACACCAGUGGCGAAGGCGGCUUUCUGGACCAAUACUGACGCUGAGAUGCGAAAGCGUGGGGAGCGAACAGGAGUAGAAACCCUAGUAGUCC
rnacentral:rRNA from 1 species